CAUCCACCCCAGACUCACCUGCAAUUUUAUUUUCACACCGUCCACCACCACGACUUUAUUCUGUAAGAGAAAGCAAACCCACGCUGGUUUAAUAUGGUGAGAAAGCCAGUGGGCUGCCCCUUCCUCAUACUGCAUUUCACAGGACCUCUUGAAUCCUACUGCCUGAUUGUGGGUAGACCUGCUCCACGGAGACAGAGCAAAGCUGGAGACAGAGAGAAGGAGGUGCAGAAAGCUGCAGCGGUCUCACCCGGAAGUCUAUGCCGACAGUGGCUAUGAAGGUCCCAGGGAGGAAGGCCCCGUCUUUGAACUGGACCAGGAAGCAGGUUUUUCCCACGCCUGAAUCUCCGAGCAGCAUCACCUACAACACGGGUGCAAAACCCCAUUAAUGGAGCCGGGUCGGAGGGUCCAAGGAGAAAGUCCAGGACAGACACCUUAACACUCUCCAAGUGCCUUCCCCAAACACAGACACUCCACCAGCAAGGUGGAUCAUAUCAUGGAAUGGACCCCCAAAUACCCUGAAAGAACGUGCUUCAGUAAAGAAAAAAACCAAAGCCACUCCAACCACACAUCCCUAGUUAUUACCACACUGGAGCUCAUCCAAAAAAUACAAUCUAAUCCUGAAAGCUCUUCUCCGAACCCUCACUUCUGGCCUUCAAACAACCCCCCCAGCCUCAUCAUCAGAAGCUGACUCCCUACAGACCGCAACACACCAACGCGAAGCAACACCAGACCCUGCCAGGAUAACAGAUGCAAAAAAAUGCUAGAAUGGGGGUGAAAACUUCCAACCAAGUGAUCACUGGAUAGCUGACCUAUCAGUCCUCACCCUCAAAGGAAACAAACUUGCACAUCUUCAAAAGACGGCCUUGGCGCUUAAGUGUAUAGCUUUGCUAGGCACUAAAAAUCAUGGGUUGAACAGGCUGUAUGGAUGUCUGGCCUAUUACACCAAUCUGUAACCCACUCACAGCCCCUCUCCAACUGCCGUCUCCGUCUUCCUUCCCCCCAUAAUGGGAGGGGUGUUAGUAGACCCCUUCACUUUGAAUGGUGCCUGGAAGUAUGUUUCCACCCUGUAUUUAGCUGUGCUGCUCCGGGUACCUUUCCCAGACCUGAAGAAGAGCUCUGUGUAAACUAGCGAUCUAAAACUCAUGGCCUGUGGAUCAUCUACAGCCAGAGCAUGUUCACAGUCUAGCCAGAGAGUCCAUGUCCCUAGACCCUACCCUGGCCCCUCAUUGCACCUCUUCUCCCAAACCCCUUUUCUCAAGGGGAUUACUGAAGGGCCUGGCAUGGAGUAGCAGCAGGGUUGGGCUGCUGCAGUGACUGUUAGGGUUGCCAGAUGGCUGAAAGAAAAAUACCGAACACCUUUCCCCCCCGCC